UUCCAGUGCGUUUGACAUCUU
ensembl:piRNA 21ur-1966 ncRNA